GCUCCCAUGGUGUAAUGGAUAGCACGCGGCCCUCCGGAGGCCUAAGUUGGGGUUCGAGUCCCUAUGGGAGCGCCA
rnacentral:tRNA from 1 species